AUUGAACGCUGGCGGCAGGCCUAACACAUGCAAGUCGAGCGGAUGACGGGAGCUUGCUCCUGGAUUCAGCGGCGGACGGGUGAGUAAUGCCUAGGAAUCUGCCUGGUAGUGGGGGACAACGUUUCGAAAGGAACGCUAAUACCGCAUACGUCCUACGGGAGAAAGCAGGGGACCUUCGGGCCUUGCGCUAUCAGAUGAGCCUAGGUCGGAUUAGCGAGUUGGGGAGGUAAUGGCUCACCAAGGCGACGAUCCGUAACUGGUCUGAGAGGAUGAUCAGUCACACUGGAACUGAGACACGUUCCAGACUCCGACGGGAGGCAGCAGUGGGGAAUAUUGGACAAGGGGCGAAAGCCUGAUCCAGCCAUGCCGCGUGUGUGAAGAAGGUCUUCGGAUUGUAAAGCACUUUAAGUUGGGAGGAAGGGUUGUAGAUUAAUACUCUGCAAUUUUGACGUUACCGACAGAAUAAGCACCGGCUAACUCUGUGCCAGCCGCCGCGGUAACAC
rnacentral:rRNA from 1 species